UAGGAUAUUUUUUUAAAUUUAUUUUAUAAGUGCACUUAUGUGUGUGUGUAUAUACAUAUAUUAUGUACAAUUGCCUUAUAGACAUUAUUACAACAGUAUAUUUUUCCUUAUGCAGUACUAUAAAUAGGAGCGAAAAGCAAUACAUAUACCAAAGAUCAAGCGUCUGAAAUAUAUCUUUUAUUUUUUAUUCUUCUUUGAUACGAGGAAUUUUGUAUUGAACAGAAGAACAUCGGCUCCGAUGUUCUUUAGUUUCGUUUGUACACAAAAUUUUGAAUCUUAUAUAACGAUGUAAUUAAAUAUAUAAAAUUUUGGAACGAAAAAGAUUGAAAAUGGCUGUGAAACAUAAUAUUUGUACAUUAUCAUUGCCUACGUUAACGGAUACAGUGUCCAUUAAGAAAGAGAAAGUUCGGAAAAAUCAUAUUUCGAACAAAAAGUGUAGAUCUUAUUAUUACGUUUGCCUGGGUGCUCUGAUGCAUACAAUAGAUAAGCAAAUUAAAGACAAAUAUACUGAAAAUAAUUAUCUAUAUUUAAUUGGGUCAAGAUACAUAAGAGAUCUUUAUAAAUGGCUACAACAUUGCAAAUACAAUAAAGUACUUGUAAAUGACUUUUUGAAGUCGCUUAUUACAUCAGUAGCUUUAUUUGCAAUAGGAGUAAAACUAUCUAACGAAUUAGUUGCAUGGAGGAUAUUUUAACCUAUAGUAAA